UUUGUAAUAAGCAGGAGGAGCAACUCCAGCUCACUGGUGGCUUCAAAACUAGACAUACAGGAGACACAGAGAAGAAUACCAGAGCACUGCUCAGCUCUGUUUUACUGUGAUGCUAAGGACUGAACCUGGGAACUUGGAAUCUAAGGCAUGAAAGUCUUUUGCCAUUAUAUGACUUCUCCAGCCCUGCGUUAAAAAAUCUUCCAUGCAUGCUACACAGCCACCUGGUUCCAGAUGCUAACAUGAUGCCAGCUGGACUUCCCUGGGCAGACGACCCCACCAAUGUGUCCUGGAGCCCCGAUUCCCCGGAGCCCUUCCCCACUAGGGAAAGAGAGAGACAGGCUAGGAGUAUGAAUCGACCUACCAACACCUAUGUUCAGCGGGGAAGCAAUUACAGACCUCCCACCUUCUGUACCCCAUAAUGACCCUGAGUUCAUACUCCCAGAGGGAUAAAAAUUAGGAAAGCUAUCAGGGAAGGGAUAGGAUACGGUGGUGGGAACUGUGUGAAGUUGUACCUCUCUUAUCCUAUGGUUUUGUCAGUGUUUCCUUUUUAUAAAUAAAAAUUUAAAAAUAAAUAAAUAAACAAAUAACCAUCACAUUUACCUGCUGUGUAGACCAUAAGGCAAGGACACAUGCAGUGAGGUGUUGUAGAGGCCCACUACUGACCCAGGCUAUAAAUUUCCAAUACUAAGUAAUUAGUCUCCUAUAGAAGGCUAAAUGCUAGUGUGCUUGGAGGUAUGUUCAAUUUCUCCUAAUUCAGUUGUCUAAUAAAUUUCCUUUCUUCCUUCACUGGAGUUAUACUAGCUUAAUAACCGCCAAGUUUUUUGUUUGUUUGUUUUUGUCUCUUGAAAAAUCCAGUACAUGCUUACAACUAUAAAAGCAGAAAGCCAAUUGAUUCCUGCCCUAGUGAAUUUUAAGAGCUGAUGGGAAAUAUUCAAAUAAAAGCCCCUAAAUAUUUACUAGUACUGUAUGGUGAUAGAGACAGGCUGUGGGGCUGUAGAGAGACUUGAAGAGACAGUUGAUGGAAACCAAAAGUUUCUUCUUAUAUUCACUCUGAAAUGGAAAUCCCAGCAUAAUAAAACCAAUGUCCAUUGAAGUCCCCUUCUCAUUCUACCCUGUCCUCAAAGCCAUGACCCUAAACUAAGUGUUACAGGAAUAUUAAACCCUUCAAACAUCUCAAUAAAUUUUCUUUAAUUACAUGGGUCAUUUUAUUAAUUAGAAUUUGGAUACUCUUGUCAACAUCCCUUCAAGGAUAUAAUAGGCACCUAAAAAAAAAAAAAGUGUAUUAGAGAGAAUAGUGCCUCCAAGAUAUUCACAUUUUUGUCCUAAGACUCUCAGUUUGUUUUCCUUCUCUAUGACAAAGAAAACUUUGUAGAUGUUAUUAGGCUAAGAAUCUUGAGGAGGGGUAGCUAGCAG